rnacentral:rRNA from 1 species
AUUGAACGCUGGCGGCAGGCCUAACACAUGCAAGUCGAGCGAGCGGCGGACGGGUGAGUAAUGUAUGGGGACUGCCCGAUAGAGGGGGAUAACUACUGGAAACGGUGGCUAAUCCCGCAUACUAUCGGAUAACCCAUAUGGGAUUAGCUAGUAGGUGGGGUAAAGGGUCACCGGGGCGACGAUCUCUAGCUGGGCUGAGAGGAUGAUAAGCCGAACUGAGACUGAGACACGGCCCAGACGCCUACGGAGGCAGCGGGGGGGAAGAUGGCACAAUGGGAGCAAGGCUGAUGCAGCCAUGCCGCGUGUAUGAAGGAGGCCUUAGGGUUGUAAAGUACUUUCAGCGGGGAGGCGUUACCCGCAGAAGAAGCACCGGCUAACUCCGUGCCAGCAGCCGCGGUAAUAC